rnacentral:rRNA from 1 species
AACGAACGCUGGCGGCAUGCCUAACACAUGCAAGUCGAACGAUACCUUCGGGUCUAGUGGCGCACGGGUGCGUAACGCGUGGGAACCUGCCCUUAGGUUCGGAAUAACUCCCCGAAAGGGGUGCUAAUACCGGAUAAUGUCGUCGGACCAAAGAUUUAUCGCCUUUGGAUGGGCCCGCGUUGGAUUAGCUAGUUGGUAGGGUAAAAGCCUACCAAGGCGACGAUCCAUAGCUGGUCUGAGAGGAUGAUCAGCCACACUGGGACUGAGACACGGCCCAGACUCCUACGGGAGGAAGCAGUGGGGAAUAUUGGACAAUGGGCGAAAGACUGAUCCAGCAAUGCCGCGUGAGUGAUGAAGGACUUAGGGUUGUAAAGCUCUUUUACCCGGGAUGAUAAUGACAGUACCGGGAGAAUAAGCGCCGGCUAACUACGUG